rnacentral:rRNA from 1 species
CCUACGGGCGGCUGCAGUGAGGAAUAUUGCACAAUGGGCGAAAGCCUGAUGCAGCAACGCCGCGUGAGGGACGAAGGCCUUCGGGUCGUAAACCUCUUUUCUGGGGGACGAGCAAGGACGGUACCCCCGGAAUAAGUCUCGGCUAACUACGUGCCAGCAGCCGCGGUAAAACGUAGGAGGCGAGCGUUAUCCGGAUUUACUGGGCGUAAAGCGCACGCAGGUGGCAAUGCAAGUCGGACAUGAAAGCUCCUGGCUUAACUGGGAGAGGUGGUUCGAAACUGCAUAGCUUGAGGUUGGGAGAGGGACGUGGAAUGCCCGGUGUAGUGGUGGAAUGCGUAGAUAUCGGGAGGAACACCAGUGGCGCAAGCGGCGUCCUGGCCCACACCUGACGCUGAGGUGCGAAAGCGUGGGGAGCAAACAGGAUUAGAUACCCGAGUAGUC